GGAGUGCGCGUGCGCAGUCCUGGUUUUGGGCGUCGUGAGGGAGGAAGCGGGCAGUGCGUUGCUUCGUGCGUGGCUCAGUGCCUUUCUUUCUUCUGGUGUGCCUCCCGCCCGAGCUUUAGCCAGUGGAGAUGGCAGGGACCUCGGACCAAGUUGGAUGUGGCAGCCAAGCUGUGAGGACACAGGCAGAUUUGCAGGUAGAAGGCAAGGGCACUGAGGCCACAAGACAAUGUACUGUGAACUAGGAACUGUGGGAAGGAGGAAGGAUGCAGUGGGCCCUUCCCUGCCCCCCAGCAGACGUGUGAGGUCCUGUCACAGGGGAACGCCAGCAGGGAGCUGGGUCCAGCCUUAGGGCUGCCAGAUUCCUCCAGCAGGCAUGGUUAUCCCCGCUGCCAUUUCCUCCUCCCAUUGCAGAAAAACAUGGGAAAUCUUCUCAGGAAUUUUGCUAUUUUAAGCAAGCUUCUCUGUCCCUCCUGAUAUCACAGCUUCCUUAUCCUCACCAGAAUAAUACAAGGACAAUAAUUUUAAUCCUUCACGAAAUGUUGGUAUUAAAGGCUUUGAGCUGCUGGAAAAGUGCCUGUCCGUAACAAUGGGGUUAAUGCGACUGUGGGACUCAUCCAGCCUCCACAUAAACCUGCACAGAUUUGUGCCACGUAUAGCUGGGACUGUCCCGAGCCAUAGAGCACAGCCCCUGCCCUCACCAGGACUAGGCAGGCUGUUAUUCUGUGCGUUUGAUAGAAGCAGGUGCCCUCUUGCAGGGUUUAAUACAAGGAAAAUAUAAUAAUAGUUAUACCUGCAG
ensembl:lncRNA